rnacentral:rRNA from 1 species
AGUGAACGCUGGCGGUAGGCCUAACGCAUGCAAGUCGAACGGCAGCACAGUAAGAGCUUGCUCUUACGGGUGGCGAGUGGCGGACGGGUGAGGAAUACAUCGGAAUCUACUUUUUCGUGGGGGAUAACGUAGGGAAACUUACGCUAAUACCGCAUACGACCUUCGGGUGAAAGCAGGGGAUCUUCGGACCUUGCGCGAUUGAAUGAGCCGAUGUCGGAUUAGCUAGUUGGCGGGGUAAAGGCCCACCGAGGCGACGAUCCGUAGCUGGUCUGAGAGGAUGAUCAGCCACACUGGAACUGAGACACGGUCCAGACUCCUACGGGAGGCAGCAGUGGGGAAUAUUGGACAAUGGGCGCAAGCCUGAUCCAGCCAUACCGCGUGGGUGAAGAAGGCCUUCGGGUUGUAAAGCCCCUUUGUUGGGAAAGAAAAGCAGCAGGUUAAUACCCCGCUGUUCUGACGGUACCCAAAGAAUAAGCACCGGCUAACUUCGUG